CCAGUCAAUCCCGCCCCCCCUCGCGGGCCGGGGGGGAGCAGUCACGUGAUGUCAGCACGCGGCCCGGGGGGAGAAGAGAAAACGCGUAACGGUCCCCUCCCUCUCCCACAGCGAACACUUCACAUCAGAUUCCCCGAUUUAUAGAAAUAAACUCAGACAAGAGAAACAUUGUUCAAUUGAUUUUAAUUGAUUUGGAGGCAACAUUGCUUCAUAGCCGUGGAAUAAGAAAGAAAGGUUACAACUCACUGGAAAGACUGGGCAUUGUAACAGAUCAUCUAAAGAGGCUUCACAACUGUCUACAAAAUAGUAAAAGUGGGACGAGGAGAAGAAACUGAAAACAGCCGACAAAUCAAGCAAAUAAAAAGACCUCAGUGGCAAGCAAAAAGCCAGUUCCGUCAGACUGUGGCGAUUUGUCGUAAGUAUAAUUUGGAUAUUUAAUUUUAACUCUUAAUUGUCUCUACUUAUUGAAAGGAUGUAUUGUUCCUAUGAUACAUGGCCAGGGAUAUUGAUAAUUCCCUGCCACUUCACCUGACAACAAGAGUUGACAGGGUAUUUAACCUUGAGGCACACCCCAGACCCUGUUCAUUGUGUUCUUCAAACACAAACGUUUUCUACUGGAGUUAACGGGGCAGUGGGCAAGAGUGGGCCUGUCUGUUUCAAAGCCUGCAUCGCUUGAUAUUGCCAACUCAAAUACUGACUGCAAAUAGCACAAACUACAAAAGCUGAGUCCUUUCAAACGGGAUACCAGAUGAUGUAUUUUUUUUAUUAUUCACCUUCUGUCACUUGUCAGUCUUUUAAGAACCAUUGUUAGCUGGUAACAUGACAGAUACUAAAGUUCAUGGUACCCUGACAUUUCCUGAUCAACUAUCUUGUUUGGUGGGGGCUCAAUAAAUGAUUCAUGCAUUAUGAGAACUAUGUAACCAUCAGCUUUUGUCACAGCGAGUUGUGGAUAGUGAAUUAACCGGGAAGUCCCAAUAUUGCUCCAGUCCCCUAUUUAUGUAAUGCCCAUGAUUUACAUGAUCAAUCCUGCGAUGCAAAGGUUAAGUCAUGAAUUCUGGAAAAGCAGUCAAAGAUAACUUAAAUUGUGAUCCAGCAGUAUAGGUUCUGAUCAAACAAUCUCAACGUCACAUCUAACUCUGGUUGCUUAGACAUAACGGAGACAUUCAGGUGUUGGAGGAAGUGUAAGGGAGAACCCCAGGAAUGAUCUUCAGUGUCAGGGGUCUGAAUUCUGAGGAAUGACUAAAGAAACUCAGAAUAGGAGGAUUCUGAGAUAGGAACUGCAAGGGGGAAUAACAGGUCAUCAAAUUGAAAGGGAUUAUCAGAAACAUUGGUUAAAUUUCGAGAGUGUAAAACCAAAGAAUUUAGUAAACAGCAAGUGUAUAAUUGUUAUCAGAAAUUUAUAAUUGUCACAGAAAGAAUAAGUAACAUUUGUAGGGGACUGCUAGAUAGAAUUGUGAAAACUAGAACCAUCCAUUUACAUGGUGUCAGACUGUAAUGGUUAUACUUAUAUCUCUGACCCCGAUGGAUUGUAAUGGUUUUUUUUAUAUUCCUGACAGAUUCAUGGUCAUGUUUAUGUCACUGGCCUCGGACAAUAUAAUAAUUAUAUUUACACUUCUGAAAUACUGUAGUGAUUCUAUUUACAUCUCUGACUUUCAACAGACUGUAGUGGCUAAAUUUACA